rnacentral:rRNA from 1 species
UUGUGGGAAAAAGUACAGCUGAUUACUCUCUCGGCUCAUCGAGACAAAAUCAAAUGGACAAUCACUACAAAUGGACGUUACUCGGCCUGCUCUGCUUAUGAGAUCCAGUUCGCUGCACGGAUUGAACAACCUGGGAUUGCACGGGUGUGGAGAACAAAGCUCGAGGGAAAGGUUCGGUUCUACAUCUGGCUGUUGCUGCAGAACCGAAAUUGGACCGCUGACAGGCUGCAGGCUAGAGGAUGGCCACACAAUGCCUGUUGUCGGUUGUGUGACCAGGAGCCAGAAACUGCGGAGCAUAUCACGCUGCGAUGCAGCUAUGCAAGAGAGGUUUGGUACCUAGCCCAGGGCACAAGUGACAGGAUUUACAAUGUGGUGCACUCUGCAAUUUCAGUUUCAGAUUGGUGGAAGAGGCUCUAUAUGCAUCGCGGUGCGCAAUCCAAGGCUGCCGAGGAAACAUCCCUCUCGGCAUACAUUGCUUGGCAUCUUUGGAAGGAACGGAAUAGAAGGGUUUUUGAAAAUGCUGAGAUGACGCCAAGAGCCUUGGUGAAUCUCAUUCAAGAAGAUUUCAAGAUGCUCAACGAGGCCUUCCGCCCUUCCAUUCAGGUGGCUGGGUAG